AGUGAACGCUGGCGGUAGGCCUAACACAUGCAAGUCGAACGGCAGCACAGUAAGAGCUUGCUCUUACGGGUGUCGAGUGUCGGACGGGUGAGGAAUACAUCGGAAUCUACUUUUUCGUGGGGGAUAACGUAGGGAAACUUACGCUAAUACCGCAUACGACCUACGGGUGAAAGCAGGGGAUCUUCGGACCUUGCGCGAUUGAAUGAGCCGAUGUCGGCUUAGCUAGUUGGCGGGGUAAAGGCCCACCAAGGCGACGAUCCGUAGCUGGUCUGAGAGGAUGUACAGACACACGGGAACUGAGAAAGGGUACAGACUCAUACGGGAGGCAGCAGUGGGGAAUAUUGGACAAAGGGCGCAAGCCUGAUCCAGCAAUACCGCGUGGGUGAAGAAGGCCUUCGGGUUGUAAAGCCAUUUUGUUGGGAAAGAAAAGAAGCAGGUUAAUACGCCGCUGUUCUGACGGUACCCAAAGAAUAAGCACCGGCUAACUUCGUG
rnacentral:rRNA from 1 species